rnacentral:rRNA from 1 species
AGGACGAACGCUGGCGGCGUGCUUAACACAUGCAAGUGGAGCGACGAACCAGGCUUCGGCCUGGGGCAGAGCCGCGAACGGGUGAGUAGCACGUGGGUAACGUGCCCCGAUGACUGGGACAACCCGGGGAAACCCGGGCUAAUACCGGAUAUGCCCCCCUCACGCGAGUGAGGUGUGUAAAGGAAGCUUCGGCCUCCGCAUCGGGAUCGGCCCGCGGCCCAUUAGCUUGUUGGUGAGGUAACGCUCACCAAGGCUUCGAUGGGUAGCUGGUCUGAGAGGACGAUCAGCCACACUGGGACUGAGACACGGCCCAGACUCCUACGGGAGCAGCAGUGGGAAUCUUGCGCAAUGCGCGAAAGCGUGACGCAGCAACGCCGCGGUGGGGGAAGAAGGCCGUUCGGGUUACGUAAACCCCUUUCGAGUUGGGACGAAGGUCGGCGGUGAAGUACGCCGUUCCGACUGACGUACCUUCAACAAGAACGCCCCGGACUAACCACGCG